AGGCCUUCGGGUUGUAAAGCCCUUUUGUUGGGAAAGAAAAGCAUUCGGUUAAUACCCGAGUGUUCUGACGGUACCCAAAGAAUAAGCACCGGCUAACUUCGUGCCAGCAGCCGCGGUAAUACGAAGGGUGCAAGCGUUACUCGGAAUUACUGGGCGUAAAGCGUGCGUAGGUGGUGAUUUAAGUCCGUUGUGAAAGCCCUGGGCUCAACCUGGGAAUUGCAGUGGAUACUGGGUCACUAGAGUGUGGUAGAGGAUAGUGGAAUUUCCGGUGUAGCAGUGAAAUGCGUAGAGAUCGGAAGGAACAUCUGUGGCGAAGGCGACUAUCUGGGCCAACACUGACACUGAGGCACGAAAGCGUGGGGAGCAAACAGGAUUAGAUACCCUGGUAGUCCACGCCCUAAACGAUGCGAACU
rnacentral:rRNA from 1 species